UGCAUUGAAAAUGGCAAUGGAAUGAAAUC
rnacentral:piRNA from 1 species